AAGCUCAUGAAAUAUUCUCUCAGCCAUAGCUUACACCCAAGAAUCCAGAAGAAAGACCACAUCUACCAGUAAAUAUGAAUAUUACUAAAUUUGACAGCAGCUCAAAUGUGGGAUAACUGUAAAAUGUUGACCUCUCCUGCAUGUCAGCUAUCCGAUACUGCAAAAUGGCAACUGUGCAUGUCAGAUACUAUAUCAAAUGCUGACGGCAACUGCAUGUCACUUUUCAAAUAUCAGUAAGUACUGGCUGCUGCAUGUCUGAUGCUAUCAAAUACUGACUGCUACUGCAUGUCAGCUGUCAGAUCCAAUCAAAUGCUAGCUACAACUGUAUAUGUCAGUUGUCACAUAUUGUCAGAUGUUAGCAGCUGCAUGUGAAAUGUCUCUUUUAGUAAUGGACCACUAUUAUAUUUCAGCUCUUGGAUGUUGAAUGCUCCAGCAAAAUAUUUUGUUGUCAAAUACUGGUGCUGAAUAUACUUUAUUCACCGCAUAUCUGGAGAAUGCUCACAUAUACAGAAGAUAUGAGCCAUCAGAAUUUUAGAGGAAAAUUUUGGUGGGAGAGAUGGUUUCGGAUAACACAACAG